rnacentral:tRNA from 1 species
ACUACUAAGGAUUAUUAACUUAUAAUCUUAAUCUAUAAUAAAGUAAUUAUAGCUAUAUUAUAUUAACUACUUAGUAGUU